UCCGGUUUAGACCGGCGGUCUCCCUAGAGAAAGCAACUAAGGACAGGGGUUGCGCUCGUUAUAGGACUUAACCUGACACCUCACGGCACGAGCUGACGACAACCAUGCAGCACCUUGUAAAUUGUCUUGCGAAAGAUCUGUUUCCAAACCGGUCAAUCUACAUUUAAGCCUUGGUAAGGUUCCUCGCGUAUCAUCGAAUUAAACCACAUGCUCCACCGCUUGUGCGGGCCCCCGUCAAUUCCUUUGAGUUUCAAACUUGCGUUCGUACUCCCCAGGUGGGAUACUUAUCACUUUCGCUUAGCCACUCAGGGUUGCCCCCGAACAGCUAGUAUCCAUCGUUUACGGCGUGGACUAC
rnacentral:misc_RNA from 1 species